rnacentral:sRNA from 1 species
UAUAAAGCAAAGAAGCUAAGAAGUCUAAACAAAAAAAAUCCACUAGCUCUAGUCCAGUGCAAAUAUUUCCAAGAACUAAUUCAAAAUGAAACUGUUGAUCUUCCUUUCAAUCCUGAUUGCCUGCCUGGCUUUCAGUUCUGCUGCCCCAUGCAUGGAAGGUCACCAACUCUGUGAGCAUCAUCACCUGACUGCCUUUGAACAUGGAAUGAUUUACUGCUGCUCUGCUGAUUAUGAUAGUAUUUCAACAAGCAUCCACCAUCAGGACGGCGUUCAAGAAGUGCGUUGUCAGUGUCAUUAGAAACAAGUCUAAUACUCAAACAUAUGAAUGCAAAUAUAAUAUAUAAAAAAAGUGUUUCAUUAAAAUAAUAUACUGUC